GAGUGGCGCUGAGCAGCGGGUACUGAAUCCGCCGUCUGCAAGCGAGGCCGGCAGUCUCCAGAACAGGUGAGGCUUCCCUGCGGGGAUGCCCCGAGCUCUGCUCUUGGGCAGGACAACCAACACCCUUGUCUUCAUGCUCUCCUACUUUAAGCUUGAAAUACUGCAUGUGGUAUGAUUAAAAAGAUCUUGGUGUAGCACAUUCAGGGCCUGCCCAGGGGAGUCAUGAGGCCGGGGCAGCUCAGGGGGAGCCUGGUGUCCCUGCCGGGCAUGUGGCCUGAGCUUCCUCAGUCUGUGCUGAGUGAAUGGGUCCCUUGGCUCCUCUCCGUCACUGAUUCUGCCCCUGCUUGUUCUCAGUAGAGCAGGUCAGGGAGAAGGAGGUGUGUAUAAAUCUCCCACUGCCUGUUUUUGGUUCUCGGCAUGGCUGGGAUGCAGCUGAGCAAAACAAUUUACAUGCUCAGAUCUAGGAGGCCUUUUGCACCUCAAAGUCCCUUGCCUCUUCUGAGUUUUUGCUGGCAUUUCCUUCGAGUUCGGCCUGCAGGCCCCAGCCUGAGCUCCCACUUCCCUUCCCUGGUUAGAACUGUCCACGCACAUCUGACCCAAGGAGAAGGGGGCCCUCGUGUUAACUGGUGACUUUAGUUUUCAUUGCAAGAACCAGGAGCUGUGGGACACCUGAGUUUCAUGGAGAUUCUGGACACAUCGCUCAAGGUCAGCUUGUAAGAGCCCCUGGAGAAAAAUGGCAUCAUUACAGGCUUAAUCUGAUCACUCCAAAAUGCUCAGAACUGGUUGCUCUUUCAAGGACAACUUGAUUAGGUAAAAAUUAGACCUUUAUUUAUUGAAGCCUUUGGACUUUGGGCACCAAUCUGUUUUACUCAUCCUUUGCAGUUCCUUCAGACGUUCCUGAAAACACGUCUGCUGAGGCCGUCAGCUCCACCCAGAUUUUACUGACGUGGGCUUUGGUGCCUGAACAGGACCAGAACGGGCUCAUACUGGGCUACAAGCUUAGUAACCAGAGGCAGAAUUCGGUGGCCCCGGAAUGACUGUAAUACACAUCCUCCCGUCUCUGUAUGCAUUGCUCCGAGCCCAUUGCCUCUCAUCUGGGAGUCAGCCCCGGGCCUGCCAGUGAGGCUCGUGUUGCCAGAAGUGACACUCAGUCCGUGUGGAUGGUGUGGCAGCCGCCAGAGGAGCCCAACGGCAUCGCUCUGGAUCCUGUCGGAUGAGCCGGGAUCCCAAACACCUGUUAGGCCCCACACCUUGUGCUCCAGACCUGGGGCGGGAGAUGGUCUGCAGAGUGCAUGGAUGGGCCAGAAGUCUCCUGGAGCCCCUCAGCACCACGCCCCGGCUUCUGCCUCUUCUGGACAGAGCAGAGCUAAACAUCUGAUGACCCAGUGGGUGUCCCCAGCUUGCUGUGAGACAGGAAACCUUUCUGGAGCACAGAAUGUGAAUUCUGGCCUGUCACAGUACCUGGAGUCUCCAAGAAGCAGAAUCUCCCCAUCCUGCUGAGGAGGGAGGCCCCAUCCCCACCCCGCCCUGGGCCUGGCAGCUCCGGCUCCCACCGCUCCUGCUGCUCCCACCACAGCCUCUGCCCUCUGCCCUCUGCUCCAGUACUGCGGUGCUAAUUCUGUGCCCACCUCUGCACUCCCUGUAGCCAUCCUGGGCCGAUAGGAGUCAUUCUGACAGGAGGACCCCUGGGAGAGGGAUGGGAGGCCAGUGAGCAUUUCACAUGUGUGUGUCUCUUACUGUAGACAGACAUGCAUUCUGAUUUCGUAGCCAUGGCUUUGAACUACUCAUCCUGGGUCUUCCUCGCAAACAUGGGGAGGUUGUGGCCUGAGCCAGGGCCAGCCCACUGUGCUUGCUGGUCCUUUGCCCCUUCUGUGCCUCUAAAGUCUACAUUCGAUGUGACUCCAUGGCCGUCCCUGCCUGGUUGUGCCCACUGUCAUCACAGGUCUCACUGUCCAAAGAUAAAAUCUCAUCACGUACUUUGAAGGGCAUCUGUAACGUUUGUGCAUCUGUUUGAGAAAGCACUGUGAAAGGAGAAUUCAGACCAUGAUGGGGUAGCAUUUACAUUAUUCAGAUUGGGAGUCCUAGAAAGUCUUGAUACGACCCAGGUGAGAUGGGUAAGUGGGCAAACACAUGCUCAUAUGCUCCCGGAGAAUGAUAUGGUCAUGUCUGGGCGAGGUGACCACAUCUGUCCUCUCCAUCCCGGAGGCCCUUCCCAUCGGGUCUUAAACCCUGGUGUUCUCACACCUGUACCCAAGGAGACACACACGGGACACUCUUGCAGUGUCAUGUUCAAUAACAGGGAAAAACAAAGAGCCAGAUACCCAAGUGUCCAUCAAUCAGGCAACAGAAAUGUGUAUCCUGGGCUCUUCACGCAACAGAAAACAUGAUAGCAGUUACAGGAAUGACCAAGAUCUACACGAGCCAACGUGAGGAAGUCUCACAAGCAUGUGUUCAGGGGGAAAACAAGUUGCAGGAGAAUCCACAGAGCGUGAGAAUGUUC
rnacentral:lncRNA from 1 species